AUUCUCCCUGAAUCUUACCAACAAAACACUCCUGAGGAGAAAGAAAGAGAGGGAGGGAGAGAAAAAGAGAGAGAGAGAAACAAAAAACCAAAGAGAGAGAAAAAAUGAAUUCAUCUAAAUCAUCUGAAACACAAUGCACAGAGAGAGGAUGCUUCUCUUCCCAAAUGUUCUUAUGGACUGUUGCUGGGAUCCCCAUCCUAUUUCUCAGUGCCUGUUUCAUCACCAGAUGUGUUGUGACAUUUCGCAUCUUUCAAACCUGUGAUGAGAAAAAGUUUCAGCUACCUGAGAAUUUCACAGAGCUCUCCUGCUACAAUUAUGGAUCAGGUAUAAUAGUCCCAAAGGUGAACAUCAAAAUUUACAAAGCAACAUUUUCUGGCUUCUAGAUUGACUUUGGGACAGGUUCAGUCAAGAAUUGUUGUCCAUUGAACUGGGAAUAUUUUCAAUCCAGCUGCUACUUCUUUUCUACUGACACCAUUUCCUGGGCGUUAAGUUUAAAGAACUGCUCAGCCAUGGGGGCUCACCUGGUGGUUAUCAACUCACAGGAGGAGCAGGAAUUCCUUUCCUACAAGAAACCUAAAAUGAGAGAGUUUUUUAUUGGACUGUCAGACCAGGUUGUCGAGGGUCAGUGGCAAUGGGUGGACGGCACACCUUUGACAAAGUCUCUGAGCUUCUGGGAUGUAGGGGAGCCCAACAACAUAGCUACCCUGGAGGACUGUGCCACCAUGAGAGACUCUUCAAACCCAAGGCAAAAUUGGAAUGAUGUAACCUGUUUCCUCAAUUAUUUUCGGAUUUGUGAAAUGGUAGGAAUAAAUCCUUUGAACAAAGGAAAAUCUCUUUAAGAACAGAAGGCACAACUCAAAUGUGUAAAGAAGGAAGAGCAAGAACAUGGCCACACCCACCGCCCCACACGAGAAAUUUGUGCGCUGAACUUCAAAGGACUUCAUAAGUAUUUGUUACUCUGAUAUAAAUAAAAAUAAGUAGUUUUAAAUGUUAUAAUUCAUGUUACUGGCUGAAGUGCAUUUUCUCUCUACGUUAGUCUCAGGUCCUCUUCCCAGAAUUUACAAAGCAAUUCACUACCUUUUGCUACAUUUGCCUCAUUUUUUAGUGUUCGUAUGAAAGUACAGGGACACGGAGCCAAGACAGAGUCUAGCAAAGAAGGGGAUUUUGGAAGGUGCCUUCCAAAAAUCUCCUGAAUCCGGGCUCUGUAGCAGGUCCUCUUCUUUCUAGCUUCUGACAAGUCUGUCUUCUCUUCUUGGUUUCAUACCGUUCUUAUCUCCUGCCCAAGCAUAUAUCGUCUCUUUACUCCCCUGUAUAAUGAGUAAGAAGCUUCUUCAAGUCAUGAAACUUAUUCCUGCUCAGAAUACCGGUGUGGCCUUUCUGGCUACAGGCCUCCACUGCACCUUCUUAGGGAAGGGCAUGCCAGCCAUCAGCUCCAAACAGGCUGUAACCAAGUCCACCCAUCCCUGGGGCUUCCUUUGCUCUGCCUUAUUUUCAAUUGACUGAAUGGAUCUCACCAGAUUUUGUAUCUAUUGCUCAGCUAGGACCCGAGUCCAAUAGUCAAUUUAUUCUAAGCGAACAUUCAUCUCCACACUUUCCUGUCUCAAGCCCAUCCAUUAUUUCUUAACUUUUAUUUUAGCUUUCGGGGGUACAUGUUAAAGGCUUUUUAUAUAGGUAAACUCAUGUCGUGGAGGUUUGUUGUACAGAUUAUUUCAUCACCCAGGUAUUAAGCCCAGUGCCUAAUAUUGUUUUUUUCGGCUCCUCUCCCUCCUCCUACCUUCCGCCCUCAAGUAGACUCCAGUGUCUGUUAUUCCCUUCUUUGUGUUUAUGAAUUCUCAUCAUUUAGCUCCCACUUAUAAGUGAGGACAUGCAGUAUUUGGUUUUCUGUUCCCAUGUUUGCUAAGGAUAAUGGUCUCCAGUUCUACCGAUGUUCCCACAAAAGACAUAAUCUUCUUUUUUAAGGCUGCUUAGUAUUCCAUGGUAUCUAUGUAUCACAUUUUCUCUAUCCAAUCUAUUGUUGACUCACAUUUAGAUUGAUUCCAUGUUUUUGCUAUUGUGAAUAGUGCUGCAAUGAACAUUCGUGUGCAUGUGUCUUUAUGGUAGAAAGAUUUAUAUUUCUCUGAGUAUGUAUCCAGUAAUAGCCCAUUCAUUUAUUGCAUAAAAUUCUACCAAUAC
rnacentral:lncRNA from 1 species